rnacentral:rRNA from 1 species
GAUGAACGCUGGCGGCGUGCCUAAUACAUGCAAGUCGAGCGAACAGACGAGGAGCUUGCUCCUCUGACGUUAGCGGCGGACGGGUGAGUAACACGUGGAUAACCUACCUAUAAGACUGGGAUAACUUCGGGAAACCGGAGCUAAUACCGGAUAAUAUAUUGAACCGCAUGGUUCAAUAGUGAAAGACGGUUUUGCUGUCACUUAUAGAUGGAUCCGCGCCGCAUUAGCUAGUUGGUAAGGUAACGGCUUACCAAGGCGACGAUGCGUAGCCGACCUGAGAGGGUGAUCGGCCACACUGGAACUGAGACACGGUCCAGACUGCUACGGGAGGCAGCAGUAGGGAAUCUUCCGCAAUGGGCGAAAGCCUGACGGAGCAACGCCGCGUGAGUGAUGAAGGUCUUCGGAUCGUAAAACUCUGUUAUUAGGGAAGAACAAAUGUGUAAGUAACUAUGCACGUCUUGACGGUACCUAAUCAGAAAGCCACGGCUAACUACGUG